rnacentral:rRNA from 1 species
UACGUAGGGGGCAAGCGUUAUCCGGAUUUACUGGGUGUAAAGGGAGCGUAGACGGCAGAGCAAGUCUGAAGUGAAAGCCCGCGGCCCAACUGCGGGACUGCUUUGGAAACUGCCCGGCUAGAGUGCUGGAGAGGUAAGCGGAAUUCCUAGUGUAGCGGUGAAAUGCAUAGAUAUCACGCAGAACUCCGAUUGCGAAGGCAGCAUACCGGCGCCCGACUGACGCUGAGGCACGAAAGCGUGGGGAUCGGACAGG